rnacentral:miRNA from 1 species
AGAGGCUGGCCAUGGUGAAUUC